rnacentral:lncRNA from 1 species
AUGCAAACAGAAACCAUGGUUGUGGCGCUUCCCUGUAGCCUCGUCUGUUAUCCCGGUGCCUUAAAGGAGCUCGGUCUCAUGGAUCACAAAGCUGCUGAAGGAAUCUGGCGCGGCGACCACCUGACUUCGGAUUUUAUCUGCUAUCGACAACGCUACCAAGAAAGCAAGGUGUAUGAGAAGGUGUGUCAGAAGCCUGCUCUGUGAUUGGCCGGACGCUGCGGUGGAGUGACCUCCCUCUGCACUGAGGUCUUCAUCUGUCACGUAACAAUAACAUAACCUCAUUAUGUGUCAAAUUAUUAUUAUUACUGCUACUGUUAAUAUUAUUCCUGUUAUUAUUGUUGCUUUUUCACCUGCUGUAAUUAUGGAAUAAUUGAAUCAUUUAUUAACUGAAUAUUUUAUCGUAACAUCAUUAUAAAGGACUCAUGAACUUUUACAUGAAGGUCCAGUUUUUGGGCCAAAGUGAUGAAACUUUGCUUUCUGACAGUGUACACAAGUUUAGCUGCACAUUUAAACCUUCAGAUAUCUGAUUAUAAGAAAAAGAAAAGAACAGCACAUCUUAGUUUUUCUUAUGAUAAAGAAAUGCUGCAAAGAAAGAAGUCUGUCAGCACGACUCUUCGGGCUUAAAUUAUAAUAAAUAAAUGUGUAAAAUAACAGAAACAGUCCUGGUAGCUCAUUGGCCAGACGGUGCCGUAAUUACAAAACAGUAAGUUUCUGUUAAGUCACAGAAAAUGUCCUUUAAUUAUUUAUUUUUAACUGUAGCCCAAUUAAAAAAAAUAUUCAUAUAGUAGUAGAAAAAAAAAAACAGGAACCUUUUCAUCAUUUGACUGUUAUCGGUAGGAAAAACAAACUUAAAAUGUUUUCUUAUUUUCCAAAGCUGUCUACUCAGCCAGAUUGGAGUCUUCGGCAGGCCGUUUCUGGCCUCGGGCCUCAUGUUUGACAGCCCUGUUUUAGAAGAAAAACCACAGAAGUGAUUCUGCAGUCUGCAGUCUGCUGGUCGUCCCCUCUUCCUGUUGGCGUGAGCCAUUUAUUUAAGUGUUUGUUGGUUAAAUAAGGUUAAAUAAAUGUGAAUUUUUAUGUGUUGAUUUAACCCUAACCAUUAUUUUAACUCCAGCGGUGAGACACUGACAGUUAAUGAUAAAUAAGUAAAUGCAUAUGUCCAC